UACAGAGGGUGCGAGCGUUAAUCGGAAUUACUGGGCGUAAAGCGUGCGCAGGCGGUUAUUUAAGUCAGGUGUGAAAGCCCUGGGCUUAACCUAGGAAUUGCGCUUGAGACUGGAUAGCUUGGAGUGCGGCAGAGGGAGGUGGAAUUCCACGUGUAGCAGUGAAAUGCGUAGAGAUCGGGCGGAACACCAGCGGCGAAGGCGGCGACCUGGCCCUGACCUGACGCUGAGGCGCGAGAGCGUGGGGAGCGAACGGG
rnacentral:rRNA from 1 species